GUCUUAGUGUAAGUAUAUCCCGUGCAAUAUUUGGGACCCACUUAUACUAACU
rnacentral:miRNA from 1 species